UACGGAGGAUGCAAGCGUUAUCCGGAAUUAUUGGGCGUAAAGCGUCCGCAGGUGGCUAUUCAAGUCUGCCGUUAAAGCACGGGGCUUAACCCCGAAAAGGCAGUGGAAACUGAAAAGCUAGAGUGCAGUAGGGGUAAAGGGAAUUCCCGGUGUAGCGGUGAAAUGCGUAGAGAUCGGGAAGAACAUCGGUGGCGAAAGCGCUUUACUGGACUGCAACUGACACUCAGGGACGAAAGCUAGGGGAGCGAAUGGG
rnacentral:rRNA from 1 species